UCGCAGCAGUUCGGGGCGCGCGGCGGGCGGGGCUGCGCGCAGCUUGAGGCGAAGCAUGUGACUUGAUGGUUGCUACGCUCGGUUUUUUAAUAUGACAUCACUGCUUUUUAGGAACGGUAGCUGGAAAACGAAUAUAAUUUCAGCAUAAACCAGUCUCCGACAAACUGACAACUUUUUGGUUAUUAUUGUCCUCGUAAAAGCAGCGGUAUCCUCCUACGUAGCUUUGGAAUAAGUGACGGACGCGAGGUUCAGCUCACUGAGGACUCAUCAAGUACAGCUUUCAAACCUGUGGUGGAAAACCUGGCAGGAUUGUCAAGAAUCCCGCAGGGAUAAUGCCGCUCUCUGCAAAGCACAGAGUAAAACCACCGUCAUCGUGUUAAUGCAGACUACAAAACCUUCGUUCUUGAACUACUUGUAACAUUGAAAGGCAGUUCAGGAGGAACUGCAAAGGUAUGUAACCAGUACUCUAUUUUUUUAUGCUGCUUGACUUGACAGCUCUUGAUGUUAUUAACAUGCCAAAAAAGUUUCAGUUAAGCAAUUUACAGCAAUUGAACUGUGAACUGGCUUUUAGAAUCAUACCAUUCUUUUGUAAUUCAAGCCUAUAUGUAUUAGGAAAUGACUUUUGUGCAAUAGUUGUCCAAUUUCCAUGAGUU